rnacentral:rRNA from 1 species
UAGGGAAUCUUCGGCAAUGGGGGGAACCCUGACCGAGCAACGCCGCGUGAGUGAAGAAGGUUUUCGGAUCGUAAAGCUCUGUUGUUAAGGAAGAACGAGUGUGAGAAUGGAAAGUUCAUACUGUGACGGUACUUAACCAGAAAGGGACGGCUAACUACGUGCCAGCAGCCGCGGUAAUACGUAGGUCCCGAGCGUUGUCCGGAUUUAUUGGGCGUAAAGCGAGCGCAGGCGGUUAGAUAAGUCUGAAGUUAAAGGCAGUGGCUCAACCAUUGUAGGCUUUGGAAACUGUUUAACUUGAGUGCAGAAGGGGAGAGUGGAAUUCCAUGUGUAGCGGUGAAAUGCGUAGAUAUAUGGGGGAACACCGGUGGCGAAAGCGGCUCUCUGGUCUGUAACUGACGCUGAGGCUCGAAAGCGUGGGGAGCGAAC